rnacentral:rRNA from 1 species
UACGUAGGGGGCGAGCGUUGUCCGGAAUUAUUGGGCGUAAAGAGCGUGUAGGCGGUUCGGUAAGUCUGCCGUGAAAACCUGGGGCUCAACCCCGGGCGUGCGGUGGAUACUGCCGGGCUAGAGGGUGGUAGAGGCGAGUGGAAUUCCCGGUGUAGCGGUGAAAUGCGCAGAUAUCGGGAGGAACACCAGUAGCGAAGGCGGCUCGCUGGGCCAUUCCUGACGCUGAGACGCGAAAAGCUAGGGGGAGCGAACAGG